rnacentral:rRNA from 1 species
ACGUAGGAGGCUAGCUUUCUCCUGAUUUACUGGGUGUAAAGCGCGUGCAGGCGGUUUAGCAAGUCGUGCGUGAAAGCUCCCAGGCUUAACCGGGAGAGGACGUGCGAGACUGUCGGACUAGAGGCAGGUAGAGGCAAGUGGAAUUCCGGGUGUAGUGGUGAAAUGCGUAGAGAUCCGGAGGAACCCCGGUGGCGAAGGCGACUUGCUGGGCCUGAACUGACGCUCAGACGCGAAAGCAUGGGGAGCGAACGG